CGUGAGUGAUGAAGGCUUUCGGGUCGUAAAGCUCUGUCAAGUGGGAAGAACCUAUGUAAUGUUAAUACCAUUACAUAUUGACGGUACCACUGAAGGAAGCACCGGCUAACUCCGUGCCAGCAGCCGCGGUAAUACGGGGGGUGCAAGCGUUAUUCGGAAUCAUUGGGCGUAAAGAGCACGUAGGCGGCCUGGUAAGUCAGAUGUGAAAGCCCGGGGCUUAACCUCGGAAGUGCAUUUGAUACUGUCAGGCUUGAGUAUGGGAGAGGGAAGUGGAAUUCCUGGUGUAGAGGUGAAAUUCGUAGAUAUCAGGAGGAACACCGGUGGCGAAGGCGACUUCCUGGACCAAUACUGACGCUGAGGUGCGAAGGCGUGGGUAGCAAACAGGAUUAGAUACCCUGGUAGUCCACGCAGUAAACGUUGAUCACUAGGUGUAGCGGGUAUUGACCCCUGCUGUGCCGCAGUUAACGCAUUAA
rnacentral:rRNA from 1 species